UCUUCAUCAUCACACAAACCAAAAGAACAACAAUGACUUUCAUCAUCAUCUUCAUCUGGACUCUUUCAGUUUUUAUUCUGGAAUCGAGAGGAGUAACUCUGACUCAACCAAAAGUAAAAAGUGUUCAACAAGGACAAACAGCUACAAUAGAGUGUCAUAUAGAUGUAGGAAUACAUAGCGACUACUUAGCCUGGUACUUACAGAGACCUGGAGAAACUCCUAAACUCCUCAUAUAUUACAUAAAUACUCUUCAGUCAGGAACUCCAUCAAGAUUCAGUGGCAGUGGAACAGCAAGCACUGGAAAAGAUUUCACUUUGACCAUCAGUGGAGUUCAGACUGAAGAUUCAGGAGAUUAUUACUGUCAGAGUGCUCACUACAUCAGUAGUAGCUGGGUGUUGACACAGUGA